CCAGUAGCCAAUCCAUUUGUGGAGCGACAAAGGCCGGCGGGGCGACAAAGGCUGGCAUUGGAGGUGCCUGAUAGGCAUGGUGGACGGCCGUUGGUGGGUUGCUUGGUCCUGCUGCGGCAGAUCCAGGGUGGUCGUGAUGACCACGACGACCACGGCGGUCGUUGCGAGAGCCCCAAUGGCGACGAACUCCAAUACCAUGGCUUCUUGCAGAUCGACGGAUUUCCUUUCCAAUGAAACGAACGAGAGCAGAGGCGAUUCUGUGCAGGGGGAACGGACGCAUCCAAAGGAUGCGAUGGUUUGAGGAGGCGGUUCUUGAAGACGUCGCUCCAGGAACGAUGUGUUGGUUCGGCAUCGUGGAAACAUCCACGUACGGUUUACAAGUAGUGAUUAACUUUAACUAAUUACAUUAAUUAAUUAAAUCCUAACACUUAGCAAGCAUGACUUGACCGCUUCGCACAAGCCGACGUGUGUAGCAUCCGUCCUCACCGCACGCACAAGUUAGCAUUAUGUUUUUUUUAACAUAGAGCUUGACUCAAUGAAAUCAACGUCUUUAUCUUACAAAGCUUAAGCUACUUCCUCAGUUCCAUAAUUCAAGACGUACUGUACAUUAUAAGA